rnacentral:tRNA from 1 species
GUUUAAGUAGUGUAAAUUGCACACAUAAUUUUCAUUUAUGUAGAAAACUAACAAGUUUCUUAAAUU